UGUGCUCUUCUGAUCUAUAGUAAUGUGCUUUUAGGUCUUUGUGGAAGCAUCUCAGGUAAAGGGUGAUGGAUGGAUAGAAUUCUGCUGGAUGUUAUUGGGGGUAGACUGGUUAGUGUCUGAAGUUGCUGAAGAUCAACAUGAUACAUCUUUGUUUUGUAAUUAGGAAGGGAAAUUAGGAACAAUAAUUGAUUUAAUUCUUUGUCAGCUUAGAGACCAAACUAUCCUUCGAUACAAGGAAAUAUUUAAAGAGCUAUGAUAGAACACUGUGUGAAGAACUGAAAAAAUGCAAAUCAUUCUAUUUCAUAAGAGUUAUUAUUGUGACUUUUCUUUUGUUUGUUUUCUUGUGUACUGAAAAGGUGUUUUGUUAUAUCCUGAAGGGCUGAUAGUAGACCUGCAACUUGAAAAUAAUGUUUUCAAUGACUUUAAAAAUGAAGACCUUUACUUUUGAAACUUGACUUACUGAUAACUAUCAAAUAUAUAUAGAGAAACAUAUAUAAUUUUUUGAAUGCUUAAUACAGGUAUAGAUAUUAAGAUAUUUAUGUGUAUUGUCUCAUUUAACACUGUGAAGUAGAUACUUUUACCCCAGUUUUAUAUGUUAAAAAAAAUAGUGCUUUGCUCUAAAAGGAUUUAUGCCAAAUCACAUACCUGAUGAAGUAGUGGAGCCAAAAUUUAAUCCCAUGGUAUCUGACUCCAGACACUUUGUCUCUGGCUUCACAGACACAUCCCUAGAAGGGCAGAUACUUUGUUCCUGUGUUUAAAACCAAUCACUUUGUGGUGUUAAGCAGAGUACUAAAGAAGAUUUCGGUUGGCCCCAGGUAACUUCUAGAUCUACAGGGACUAUCACGUGUGCUCCAUUAGAAAACAGGGCUCCCAUAAACCUUGAAGCUAUUAUGAUCAUUCAUCGGUUCUUUACUGAAACUGUGUCAGUGGACUUCUGAGUUCCCUUGAUUCCAUCUUAUCCACUUUAUAGCCAAAGUGAGUUUUCUAAAAUGAAAAUUUAAUUAUAUCAGUUCCCUGCUUAAAUCAUUCAGUGGCUCCCCAUUUUUUUCUGAAUAGUUUAAUUUUUUUUUUUUUACUGUGGCUUAUAAACUACUUUUUGGACUCUGUGUACCACUCUUACCUCUUUUCUUUCCACUCUCACACACCACAGCUAGCCUUUUCAGCUCCACACUUAUUCUUACUGGGCCUUUGCCCCUCCUACCUCCACUAACUAGAACGCUUUCCUCCCUGCCUCCCACACCAAGUUGCUCACACUGCUAGGCUCAUUCUGUAGGGAGUUGCUUCUAAAGUCCCAAAUUUGGGUUAAGUAUUUCUCCUGGAUAUUCUAGCAGCAUUCUCCACUUCCCUUUUAUAAAACAUCAUGCUGUGUGUGUGAUUACUAAUUUUUACUUUCCACUUGACUGUAUGCUCACUGGAGGGGAGAAAAGAUGUGAUGAUUUUCUUCAUCCUUGGAUCCCCAAUAUUUGGUGCAUAAUAGGUGUUCAGAAUUUUUUGUUGUGUGUGUGAAUGAAGGCAAUCAUCAUUUAAAAUACUAUUUGAUAACACAUAAAGUACCAUUUUAACUGUUCAAAUAUAUAACUUCAUUUAAUCCACAGAAAACUCUUAUAAGGUAGAUACUAUUGUUGUGUCCCGUGAAAUGAGAUACUUGCUACACAGGAAUUUUAAGUAACUUGCCAAAGGUCACACAACUAAUAGGUGUCAAUAUGAGGAUCUGGACCCACUGUCAGGCUUCAGAUUUGGACUCUCCACUACUGCUUCACUGCCUCUCUGAAGUCAACAGAUCAGUAUUUCUAGGUGACAGUUGGUACCUCAGGGCUUUCACAAGAAGGUAAACAUGAAAGCUGGUUAUUAGUCCCAUCUUUGCCACUAACAAUUGUGUGAUUCUUCUGAUCUCACUAUGCCUUAGUUUAAUUAUUUGCAAAAUUAGGUAACUGUGAAUUGAAUGAUCCCAGAGGUCUUCGUUCUCUAAAUGACAGUGAUUUAAACUAAGCACUUAUUUGUGCCACUCUGACAAAGAUAAAGUAUUGAAAAUAAAUUACCAAAGCACUGUGAGUUAAAAUAAGUUACUCUGCAUCCCGUCUACAGACUUCUCCCUGUUAUCUCCAGUUUGUGAAGUUCAUAAUCUCAUCCUGUUACUCUCUGAUCAAGGAGUUGGACUUGAAUAAGGCUGUCAGAUGCAAAAACGAAAUAGCCACCUUAAAACCACCUAUGAAAUGAAUCUCCAUUGAUAUAGUUACUUUGACA